rnacentral:rRNA from 1 species
UACGUAGGGCGCAAGCGUUAUCCGGAAUUAUUGGGCGUAAAGAGCUCGUAGGCGGUCUGUCGCGUCUGGUGUGAAAUCCCGAGGCUCAACCUCGGGCUUGCAUCGGGUACGGGCAGACUAGAGUGCGGUAGGGGAGACUGGAAUUCCUGGUGUAGCGGUGGAAUGCGCAGAUAUCAGGAGGAACACCGAUGGCGAAGGCAGGUCUCUGGGCCGCAACUGACGCUGAGGAGCGAAAGCAUGGGGAGCGAACAGG